AUGUAGGAGUUUCCCUGUUAGUGAGCGUUCACUGUAGCCCACAUAAGCACUUCAACGGACUCACACACGCACACAUGCUCACACACACGCAUUCACCUGCUGCAGGCGCGAACCCAGAAAAGUAUGCAGCAAAAACGAGAGCAUAUGCAAUAAACACUCAAUUCCACACACACACACACGCAUUCGAGACACACACUUGCAGCGAGAUAUUAACCGUUACGGAUUGACGUUCGCCUGGCGGAUUUUUGACCUUGACAUGUCGCCCGUGGUUGUAAUUGUAGUUGUUUUCGGUGGACCGGAGUGGCGAGCAUGUCAAAAACUGGAGGAAAAUCGGAGAAAAUCGAACGGCGUGUGGGGCGGGGAGGCGGGUGGAAAACUGGGUCGCAGAUAGAGGUGGUCAUUAAUUAUUCAGUCACAGCAUAAUUAUUCGACCGUUCUGGUGUGCGUGUUAUUUAUAGACUAGCCAAAACGAACAAAUACAAAAAAAAACAUAACGAAAAACUGAGAUACUACAAUAAAAUAAUACACACAUAAUGUAUGCACAAAGGCGGAAGCGAGACGGAGCGACGGCGAGGGAGAGCAAAAGAGAGAGGACGAAAGAGCGAGAGAGCAUUGUAAACUUAUUAAUACCAGUACCACACAUCCGCAACGAAAUCCCCGUUAUUGCAAAUUAACCCCCCCCCCCCCCCACAAAAAAUAAAAAAAAAAAUGGAUGCUGCGAAUUAUGUAUGCUCCACACACACACAUACACACUUAUUGCAACUGCAGUGUUUUCGCACGGAAAAAAAAUCAGCUGGCUGCUGUACCGUUACGCACACACACACACACAUACACACACGUGCCCUUUCGGCAAUUAUUUGACUUUUCCUGUACUUGCUUUAUAUCAUCAUCUGUAUUUACAACAACAUCCCUUUCACACACAUACAAGUGCAAGCAGGAGGACAACCACCACACACACAUACACAUAUAGGAGAGGCACAAAAAAAAACUAAAAGUUGCACCGUUAAAAAAGUGUAAUGUCCCUUUUUUAGUCCUGCAGGCAAAUCAAGAAACCGACACCGACUGUAUAUUAGGCUACACACGGCCACACACUCACUGGCAAAAAGGACAUGCGUUUGGCACAGCCUUCGGGCAUUUUAUGUUUAAUAUAAAUAAGUAGCGGCAGCACGUUGGAGAAUAUAUAUUACGGUUUUCUGCUCUGCUCACGGGAACACUAGUUCUAGUUGGGAUCAGUGUGACCAGAGCCGCGUUGCGUGUGCUGCCCAAUCAGAAGUCCUGGGCAAACGUUCAAAGCGAGCGCGGGAAAUAACUCCGCAAGAAAUGCAGCUACAUUUGUGUGUUCAAAGUUGAGUAAAUAGGAAAUUCAAUUGGAAAGUUGCCGAUAAGUACUAUCGAGUGAGAGCACUAUAACUAUCGAUAUGGAAUAACUUUAUUUAUUUUAAUAAACAAUUUAAUUCUACUAUUUAA